CUCAAACAUGCCUUCACGUCUCCCCUUUCUUCUCCUGCUCGUCGUCAUUCUGCUGGAAAGUCUCUUUGGACAUGCUGAAUCUCAAGGAAAGCUGCAGAAACCAGACAUUUCUGUGGAUAGAUCUGUGCAGAACAGUAGGGUGAUUAACAUUGCCUGUGACACAAAGCUGGAAAACCCCAUAACUAGCACUAAUAUCAGCUGUAACCUGUACAUUGGAGACUCAUCUGAGCCAUUCAGAAGCACAUGGACCACAAGUAAAACUGUUCACUGAAGUGAAUAUCAGUGACAUGCAGGAGAGCAGGGAGGUGAACUGUGAUUACAGUGUGAAUACAGACCCUUGUUCUCCUUCUCCACGCAGUGACAGAUCCCUUGUAGUAGAUAAGUCACUUUAUAAAUCUCAAGCAUACUGGUACAAAAUAAAGAUGAGGGCUGCCAGUCUGCCCUAGCACUGUUCAAUUUAUUUAUUGAUUUAUUUGUUUGUUCAUGUUUGUUUAGCCACAGCAUUGCACCCUGUACAGAAAUUGUUGUGUAAGAUAUCAUGAGCUUGCAAAGUAUCAUGUUUCCAGACCAAACUAACAAUUGCCCCUCACACUCACAUUAACUUGAUCUUCAAGUGGGUGUACCUGUCACAAGCACCACAAUGUGUCAAUUCCCUGUGCUUCACACCCAGCCAAUGACACACUGCUACAGCGCCAUCUGUAGGCAGAUCCAUUUAGUGAAGCAAUUGUCGUCGCUGUGAACAUGCAAGACAAGUAUAUUUAACCUACCACGCACAUAUAGUUCAUUAUACAGUUCAUAUUUUGACUAAUAUCAAUUUAAGUUAUGUAAUCUUUCAUGCAUUCUCUCUUUAUAUCAGGUUUUACUGUACAUAAUUUGCCAAAAUAUAAUUACAUUGCUUUGAUCAGCUGAAAACAU